rnacentral:sRNA from 1 species
GUUCCUGCUGGCGAGACGAAGCGCGGGACAGCUGCCUGAUCUGCUUUGUUUUUUCCCAAGAUGAUGGACUGUAACUUGCAAUUGUAAAUCCAGUCAGUCCUUUCCAAUCUUAUGUUGCUUUUAGUUGCAACAAUGGAAGUGAAAUUAGGACAGGGAUGAAGGAAGGGACAUCACUUGGUGCUGAUUUCAUCUGAUCUGUAGAAGAUAUUUGCUCCAGAAAAGAGCCUUCCAUUGUAAAACAAUUGAACCAGGCAAGGAGCAGCAGCAAAUAUCUUGAACCGAAGUUGGGGUCAAUCUGAGGCCAGUGGGAAAUUUCUAUGACAAACCUCUAAGCACAAAAGACUACUCCUUUCCAAGACAAGAGCCAGCUUAGUUCCUGAGACAACUGUGGACUAAAUGUGAAAAAUCAGAAUGAAUUUGUUGAUAGCAAGAAUGGAAAAGUAAGACAGGAUCUGUAUGCUUCUGCAAAUGAGAGACCUGGAAUUCAGAAAAGUAGCAUGAGAAGUCUGUCUCAAAUCUUAAAUCCAAAUAGCAAGAACAAACAUGAUGCCAACGUUGAUGCCCAGAGAGGUACUGUACGUGACUCCUGUUACUGAGAAGAUGAAUACACUUAAAUACACUUAAUAUCUACUACUUUAUGAAGAAAUCACACUUGUUAUUGA